UGGGGAUAUUGCGCAAUGGGGGCAACCCUGACGCAGCAACGCCGCGUGAAGGAUGAAGGUUUUCGGAUUGUAAACUUCUUUUAUUAAGGACGAAUAAUGACGGUACUUAAUGAAUAAGCUCCGGCUAACUACGUGCCAGCAGCCGCGGUAAUACGUAGGGAGCAAGCGUUGUCCGGAUUUACUGGGUGUAAAGGGUGCGUAGGCGGCUAAGCAAGUCAGAUGUGAAAUCUAUGGGCUCAACCCAUAAACUGCAUUUGAAACUGCAUAGCUUGAGUGAAGUAGAGGCAGGCGGAAUUCCCCGUGUAGCGGUGAAAUGCAUAGAUAUGACGCAGAACUCCGAUUGCGAAGGCAGCUUUCCAGCGCGCUACUGACGCUGAGGCACGAAAGCGUGGGGAUCGAACAGGAUUAGAUACCCUGGUAGU
rnacentral:rRNA from 1 species